CCUGCCCCUAGUGGUGUUCCAGGUGUGGCUGCUGUGUCACAUGCGUGUCAGUAGGUGGCAGAGAGGAAAGAGAUGAGGUCUAAGUGUUCUAACCCGUAAACAUCUGAAUGAUUAGUAGCCUAACACU